GAUGAACGCUGGCGGCGUGCCUAAUACAUGCAAGUCGAGCGAACAGACGAGGAGCUUGCUCCUCUGACGUUAGCGGCGGACGGGUGAGUAACACGUGGAUAACCUACCUAUAAGACUGGGAUAACUUCGGGAAACCGGAGCUAAUACCGGAUAAUAUAUUGAACCGCAUGGUUCAAUAGUGAAAGACGGUUUUGCUGUCACUUAUAGAUGGAUCCGCGCCGCAUUAGCUAGUUGGUAAGGUAACGGCUUACCAAGGCAACGAUGCGUAGCCGACCUGAGAGGGUGAUAAGCCACACUGGAACUGAGACACGGUACAGACUCCUACGGGAGGCAGCAGUAGGGAAUCUUACGCAGUGGGCGAAAGCCUGGCGGGGCAACGCCGCGUGGGUGAUGAAGGUCUUCGGAUCGUAAAACUCUGUUAUUAGGGAAGAACAAAUGUGUAAGUAACUAUGCACGUCUUGACGGUACCUUAUCAGAAAGCCACGGCUAACUACGUG
rnacentral:rRNA from 1 species